rnacentral:rRNA from 1 species
UACAGGGGGGGGCAAGCGUUGUUCGGAAUUACUGGGCGUAAAGGGUCUGUAGGUGGCCAACUAAGUCAGACGUGAAAUCCCUCAGCUUAACUGGGGAACUGCGUCUGAUACUGGAUGGCUUGAGUGUGGGAGAGGUGAGUGGAAUUCCUGGUGUAGCGGUGAAAUGCGUAGAUAUCAGGAGGAACACCUGUGGCGAAAGCGGCUCACUGGACCACAACUGACGCUGAGGCGCGAAAGCGUGGGGAGCAAACAGG